UAUAGAAUUUUAUAUAUAACCAAAACACCACAUCGUAGAGUAAUACAACAAUACUAGAUUUUAACCCGCGGUAUAUCGCGAGACGAUUUAUUUUUUAAAGGUAAUAGAUAUUAAAACUUGCAAAUUUUAUUUUUAUA
rnacentral:sRNA from 1 species